GGCUCCUCGUAAAAAUUAAAUGAGGAGUCGGACCUGCCCAGUGAAUUUUUUUAACGGCCGCGGUACUCUGACCGUGCAAAGGUAGCAUAAUCAUUUGCCUUAUAAUUGAAGGCUAGUAUGAAUGGUUUGACAAGAGUGCGACUGUCUCUAUAUAAUUAAAUAGAAUUUUAUUUUCAGGUGAAGAAGCCUGCAUGAAAUUAAAAGACAAGAAGACCCUAUCGAGCUUGAAAAAAAUUAAUAGGUUGAUUAGAUUAAUAAAAUUAAAAAUUUUUCUAUUAAAAAUUUUAGUUGGGGCGAUCGAGGAACAACAAAAGCUUCCUUUAAAACUUAAAUAUCUACAAAUUUAGAUCCAAAAUUUUUUGAUUAAAGAAAUUAGUUACCGUAGGGAUAACAGCAUUAUCUUUUUUGAGAGCUCCUAUCGAAAAAAAGGUUUGUGACNNNNNUGUUGGACCAGAAUAACCUAAAGAUGCAGCAGUCUUUAAGGGUUGGUCUGUUCGACCAUUAAAAUUCUACG
rnacentral:rRNA from 1 species